rnacentral:rRNA from 1 species
UACAGAGGUCUCGAGCGUUAGGCGGAAUCACUGGGCUUAAAGCGUGUGUAGGCGGAUUGCUAAGUACCUUGUGAAAUCCCACGGCUUAACCGUGGAACUGCUUGGUAUACUGGCUGUCUUGAGCCACUUAGGGGCAACCGGAACAAACGGUGGAGCGGUGAAAUGCGUAGAUAUCGUUUGGAACGCCAAUGGUGAAAACAGGUUGCUGGGAAUGUGCUGACGCUGAGACACGAAAGCCAGGGGAGCAAACGGG